rnacentral:rRNA from 1 species
GAUGAACGCUGGCGGCGUGCCUAAUACAUGCAAGUCGAGCGAACGGACGAGAAGCUUGCUUCUCUGAUGUUAGCGGCGGACGGGUGAGUAACACGUGGAUAACCUACCUAUAAGACUGGGAUAACUUCGGGAAACCGGAGCUAAUACCGGAUAAUAUUUUGAACCGCAUGGUUCAAAAGUGAAAGACGGUCUUGCUGUCACUUAUAGAUGGAUCCGCGCUGCAUUAGCUAGUUGGUAAGGUAACGGCUUACCAAGGCAACGAUGCAUAGCCGACCUGAGAGGGUGAUCAGCCACACUGGAACUGAGACACGGUCCAGACUCCUACGGGAGGCAGCAGUAGGGAAUAUUCCGCAAUGGGCGAAAGCCUGACGGAGCAACGCCGCGUGAGUGAAGAAGGUCUUCGGAUCGUAAAACUCUUUUAUUUGGGAAGAACAGAUGUGUAAGUAACUGUUGACAUCUUGACGGUACCUAAACAAAAAGCCACGGCUAACUACGUG